AUAUAUAUAUAUAUAUAUUGGAAUAACAAUUGCAUGCGGCUGAAGAGAGCUUUAAACCAACCUGUAUGUCUAUUAUACUCUGAUGUAAGAAUAGGUGGUUUAUAAAGCUUGAAACACGUGUACCG